rnacentral:rRNA from 1 species
AUUGAACGCUGGCGGCAGGCUUAACACAUGCAAGUCGAACGAGCGGCGGACGGGUGAGUAAUGGCUGGGAAACUGCCUGAUGUAGGGGGCUAACUACUGGAAACGGUAGCUAAUACCGCAUACCAUCGGAUGUGCCCAGAUGGGAUUAGCUAGUAGGUGGGGUAAAGGCCCACCUAGGCGACGAUCCCUAGCUGGUCUGAGAGGAUGACCAGCCACACUGGAACUGAGACACGGUCCAGACUCCUACGGGAGGCAGCAGUGGGGAAUAUUGGACAAUUGGCGGAAGCCUGAUGCAGCCAUGCCGCGUGUAUGAAGAAGGCCUUCGGGUUGUAAAGUACUUUCAGCGGGGAGGCGUUACCCGCAGAAGAAGCACCGGCUAACGCCGUGCCAGCAGCCGCGGUAAUAC